GCGGCUGCGAGAGCCCUGUCUGUCCCAGGACUGUGGGGGUGGUUUGUAUCGGUCCCCAUUCGGGUGCUGUACCUCAGCAGAUGGUGAUGCCGGUGCUCCCUGGCGUCACUUAGGACACAGUGGAGAAUGCUCCAGGGAAAGAAGUCCCGUUGGCGCCAGCGUUUUCUUGCGUUCAGCCAUGGGCAGGGUUACAGUAAACGGUUUCCUCUCGCUUCCUUCUGAGAUCCUGUGCCAGGGCAGGAGAUCAGGGAAUUCGUGGUAGCUGGAGCUUGUGGCUCCCUGUGGCCAGGCCGGUCGCUGGAGAGCCAGGUUUGGGCACUGAUGGCUCCUCUUCCUAAGGUUGGUGUGAAAUUGCACCCCAGCUUCUGCCUGCUGAAGGAGCAAUUGCCCUUGGAGCACCCAAAAUGCUGUUCCCUGCACCAUGUCCAUCAGCUGGAGUGCAUUGUCUGCAGGGAUGCUGGGGUGACCUGUCCCAGGCAUGGAGGUGACGACGGCCGCGCUGUGUCCCCGGAGAUGGUGGCUGUACGCACAGGAAACUGUGGCCUCGGGUGUUCGGGUGCUGCUCACAGCCAAAGUGUGGCAGGACCCCACAAAAACAGCGCGGCUGGCUUAGGGCUGGGCUUAAGCCACCGGACAGCCCUAUGCUGAUGCGCUCCCGUACCUUCCAUCAUGACCGUGACACCUGCAUCUAUGCUCAGGUAAUGCUUACGGAUACGUGGAUGGUAUUGCAUCGCUCAUCCUUAUACUGGCAGAAAGUUUGAUUACUCCACACUAGCCAGCAAUGUCAUUACAUUAAAUAGAAGGGGAACCUUUUCCUUACUGAAUUUUUUUAUUGUGUUCAGCUUCACUCAGUAGGGGAAAACAAGUCUAUAAAAGUGCCGCUAGCUUGUUUCAUCUUCUGCACGUGCACCCACCUCAUUUUCACGCCCUGGCGAGGGGUGUCAGAUGCAGCCUGGCCACCCGAGCGGUCGUGGACUGGCCCAAUUUCCUGCAGAGCGCAGCGAAGGCCGUAGAUAUCAACUUCAAAGGUAAACAAUUACCUUUUAUUAUCACACAUGGCUUUAGCUCUACCAGUUUCAAAUAGCACAUAAUCACAAGUCUGUGAUAACAUUUACUCCUGAUGAGAGAAAAUUUACCAAGUACUAAAUUGCUGCUGAGAUGACGGGAGCAUGAGCCAGGCAGAAUUAACUCCGAUGAUGAGUCAGCAGACGUUAAUGUCUUGCACCACGCUGGAGACAUCUGCCGAGCCGUCCACUGUUGAAUCAUCUUAAAUAUUUCUGUGUUAUUACCCCUCCAGGAACAAGCAUCGGAGAACUUUUGUGUCUCUGUGUUAUAUAUGCAUAAGCUAUUUUAAAAUAAAUAUAUGCAGGCAUAUAACAAGUGUAUGCGUUUAGGUAUGUAGGUAAUUUUCAGCUACGGGAAGGAUGAGCAACCAGCAACUAUUUAAAGUAAAACAUGCAUGGAAAUGCUAAUAGCAAUUGCCUACAUUUGGUGCUUAGAAAGUGAUAGCUUUGCUCAGUUGUGGCUCUGAUGAGCCUGGGAGGGUGACCUCGUGUCCACGCUGUAUGCCCUCAACUUUCAUGCAGACCAGCCUGGUCAAGCUUGGAGUGGGAGCCAGAAGUUCACUAAAGGGUCCCCAUGUUUUUAAAACUAAUCCCUCAAGAACAGCUGCAGGGUGCUGCGUUCAAGUGUAUCAUCACUUUGGCUUCUUCCAUUUUUUUUUUCCAUAUGCCCAGAAUGUCUAUAUGUAGUUAGAUAAAUGUAGUAACUAGGCGCAAUCAAGAGCAUCAGAUGAAUUCAGUGGAGAGGGGCAAAUGACUUCUUAAACGAGAUCCUUUUUCACUGAAGGCCCUGCAACUGUGCCAUCAUACGCUGUCCUUCUGCAGCAGAUCUUCUGCAGAUGCUAAAGACAGUGGCGCAUAACUGGGGGUGCCGAAGGACUUUACUCUGGGCAACGUGACGAUUGCACAAAGGAAGAGGCUGAGCUUUUAUUCAGUAAAUUCUUUGUUGCAUUCAGCUUAACGCAAGUUGUUUUAAAGUACGUUGUUCUAUCUGGCCUUAAUUAAUUUAAACUUUUGCAAACAUAAUUACCCAAUUGUAUGCACGUGAGAACUGCAGUAAUUCAGCGCACAUCAUGCAAAGCUGCAUUUUUUUGAAACUCUGACUCUCUGAGGUCUGGAGGUCAAAAGUUAAUUUUAGUGAGAUAUGUGAGAGUUGUCCAUGUUUGCCAAAAAAAAUUGUUGUUUCAGGCAUUCUGCAGUCUGAGUGUCACUGCUCCAACUCGUGUUUUUAAAGUUUCCCCACCCCCUUAAUAUUUCAGACGCAACUUAAACAAAACACCACCCAACCCACCCGGUGUUUUGGAAAGCAGGGUCAGAGCAGCCUUGGCUGUUGUUGAGGGGACGUGGGAAGCACAAGCUGACAGUGGAGCUGGUGCCCCGCAGGUGCAGCCAUGGGGUGGUGGGACCAGACAGCCUCGCGGUGCCCGUCCUCCCUCUCCUGUUCUCCUCCUCGCUGCCGCUGAUGCUGGGCUUAGCCUCUGCUCAAGGCAAGCCCAUGGCUGCCUGCCAUCUGAUGGAGGUGCUCUGAGCCCCUGUCCCCCUCUUGCCGGGACCUGGGCGUAAGCGCCCGUCGGUCCCCACUCAUGGGCCUGUGACCUCAGGGCUUCUGAACAGGUUCGAUGCUAGAUGCUUAAAAUAGCUCAAAGGAAAUGAUGUGAACAUCCCCUGCACGCUGGGUUUUGCACUCAAACACUGCUUUUUCCAAAAAAUUAGCUCUAGCAACUCAUCUUGAGGCGCCCUAAAAUAACAACUUAGUAUUUAAUGAACAUUAAGGGGGAAUUAAAUUAAACUAAACAGUAGCUUGGUUUCAGCCUUCUCAGUAGUGGCUGCACAAAAAUAAGGCAGUGUUUUUAGACCAAAUAAGAAAUCCAUCCUUUGAGGAUUGGUUUACAGUCCUCCAGAAUUUUCCACAAGGUUAAUAACCAAGUGAAACGUCCUGGCGGGAACGAUCACGUUCCCGCUACUGCCCAGUCAUUAGAAUGGUGCGUCAGGAGGUUUCGAGUAAGUCGCAAUACUUUUCUUCUACUGUGGAAGACGAUGCAUCUCCAUAUUUAUUUGAAACGCUUUCUCCCAUUUUCCUUUGCAUGCUGAACUUCUUGGGCACAGUGCAUUAACUCUUCUUGAAGUACAAAAUGGAGAACACAAGUGCCAGAACAUUUUUGUCAAUGGUUUCCAAAAACUAUGGAAUUUCCUGCCCAGCUACAUCAGAUCAGCCAACAACUUUGUAAUUGCUAAAAACAGCCUGUUGAUUUUCCUCCCAAGUGUUUCAGCUGGCCUGGCUGAGCUUUCUCUUUUCCACUGUCUUGAGAUGUUUCUCUCAUUGUGCACUGUGCUGUGUUUUUAUGGUCAACAUAUCCUAUAGCAAACAAUUUCAGGCUGAUGGCGGAAGGGAGAUUGGGUUCAGGUUAGAGAUUUGAGCCCAAGAUGGGGAGCCAGGAAUGCCUCAGUUCCUGGACCAGAUCUGCCACUAAAUCAGGAAUCCACAUAAAGCAAAGCCACAUGAUGAGCAUUUGUAUGAUGAUUUGAUUUUCUGUGCAGAGGAGGAAGUGAGUGUUUGAAUGCGGUUCUCUCCUUGGCGUGCCCGCUGCAACCGAAGCCGUGGCUACAGGUGGGCUGUGAGCGGGGGGCAGGGAGCAGGUUACCUCCAAGGGGAGGGUGAGAUUCAGGAGGCUGCUGUCUAGUUGGGGACCAGGAGUAUUCACCAGAGUGGUACUUGGACUGACAUCUCAGUGGUAAAUGCAAAUAAAUUAGUUAAGUACGCCUAUAUGAAAUUUUCCUGCUGAAAAAUUCAUUCUAUAAAAACAUUUAUACUGUAUUCUUUAUUGUCAGCUAAUCCUGACCAAACUCAUUAAAUGGCAGUGUGUGGGUUACUCGCUGUCAGUGAAAUUAUCAAAGGCAUUUUUCAGCUGGUGCACCGGGAAAGCAUGUGCUUCAAUGCCAACUAAAACAAUAACGAGGAAAUGUUAUGAUCAGACUUGACCAAAUGACCUUUCCCAUUUUAGAUUAGUUCUUAAUUUCAGCGCAAGGGUCAUCCUGUGAGAAUACUUACAAUAAGUCACUGCUCACCUCUCACAUGAAAAAGAAGUGACUUAUUAGAAAUCUCACUGUACUCAUUGCAGUUAAUGAGAUGUGGAAAGCUUUGUAAUUUGAUUUGCUGGACCAUAUGCUGUAAAGGGAUACUGCUGAUUUCAUUCCUCCACAUUUAAUUUAAGCAGUAUGCAAUGGCUUCUUCGUA